rnacentral:lncRNA from 1 species
UUGCAUUAAAUGUGGAGUCUGAUGUAACAAAUGUGGACUCUGUUAGAAUACAUCAAAUCAGCCUUGCUGGUGGUUUGAUUUGUUCCAAUAGUUGAUCCAUCUAUUGCAACAUCAACAACAACAUAAACUACAAAGAAACAACAAAUAAAAAACAUUAACAACAAAGAAAAAAAUAAUAUUUGUUCCAACAACAUCAUCAACAACAAAGAAGCAACAUCGUAUGUUCCAACACCA